GACGAACGCUGGCGGCGUGCUUAACACAUGCAAGUCGAACGAAGUGGCGAACGGGUGAGUAAUACGUGAGUAACUGCCCUCCUUUUUGGGAUAAGCCUUGGAAACGGGGUCUAAUACCGAAUAAAGGGGUAUGGCUCGCGGCCUAUCAGCUUGUGGGUGGGGUGAGGGCCUACCAGGGCGGUGACGGGUAGCCGGCCUGAGAGGUGGAGCGGCCACAUUGGUCUGAGCUACGGGCCAAACUCCGACGGGAGGCAGCAGUGGGGAAUAUGGCACAAUGGUGGAAACCCUGAUGCAGCAACGCCGCGGGCGGGAUGACGGUCUUCUGGUUGUAAACCGCUUUCAGCCAUUACGCGGUAGUGGCAGAAGAAGCACCGGCUAACUUCGUGCCAGCAGCCGCGGUAAUAC
rnacentral:rRNA from 1 species